rnacentral:rRNA from 1 species
AUGGAUGGAAUCAAAUACGCAGUAUUUACAGAAAAAAGUCUUCGUUUAUUGGGAAAGAAUCAAUAUACUUUUAAUGUCGAAUCGGGAUUCACUAAGACAGAAAUAAAGCAUUGGGUCGAACUCUUCUUUGGUGUUAAGGUGGUAGCUGUGAAUAGCCAUCGACUACCUGGAAAAGGUAGAAGAAUAGGACCUAUUCUGGGCCAUACAAUGCAUUACAGACGUAUGAUAAUUGGUUAUUUACGAUGUACGAUGAUCCCUGUUAAGCAUCCAUGGCUGAAUGGUUAA